GAUGAACGCUAGCUACAGGCUUAACACAUGCAAGUCGAGGGAACGGCGCACGGGUGAGUAACACGUACCCAACCUCACCUUUACGCGCGGAUAGCCUUUCGAAAGCAAGACUAAUACUCGAUAUUUAGGCUUGGUAUGCGUUCCAUUAGGUUGUUGGUGAGGGAACGGCGAACCAAUCCUUCGAUGGCUAGGGGUGCUGUGAGGCAGGUCACCCACAUUGGAACAGUGACCCAGACCAAGCUCCUACGGGAGGCAGCAGUGAGGAAUAUUGGUCAAGGGGCGCUAGCCUGAACCAGCCAAGUAGGGUGAAGGAUGAAGGCUUAUGAGUAGUAAACUUCUUUUAGAGAAGAAUAUGUAUUAUAUGAAUAAGGAUCGGCUAACUCCGUGCCAGCAGCCGCGGUAAUAC
rnacentral:rRNA from 1 species